rnacentral:rRNA from 1 species
UGCAAGUUCGAAGCGGAAGGAAGGGGAAGCUCCGCUCCCUCGGAGCCCAGCGGCGGACGGGUGAGUCAUCGCCUAGGAAUCCUCGCCUCGGUAGUCGGGGGACAACGUUCUCGAAAGGAACGCUAAUACCGCAUACGUCCUACGGGAGAAAGCAGGGGACCUUCGGGCCCCGCGCUAUCAGAUGAGCCUAGGUCGGAGUAGCUAGUUGGUGAGGUAAUGGCUCACCAAGGCGACGAUCCGUAACUGGUCUGAGAGGAUGAUCAGUCACACUGGAACUGAGACACGGUCCAGACUCCUACGGGAGGCAGCAGUGGGGAAUAUUGGACAAUGGGCGAAAGCCUGAUCCAGCCAUGCCGCGUGUGUGAAGAAGGUCUUCGGAUUGUAAAGCACUUUAAGUUGGGAGGAAGGGUUGUAGAUUAAUACUCUGCAAUUUUGACGUUACCGACAGAAUAAGCACCGGCUAACUCUGUGCCAGCAGCCGCGGUAAUACAGAGGGUGCAAGCGUUAAUCGGAAUUACUGGGCGUAAAGCGCGCGUAGGUGGUUUGUUAAGUUGGAUGUGAAAUCCCCGGGCUCAACCUGGGAACUGCAUCCAAAACUGGCAAGCUAGAGUAUGGUAGAGGGUGGUGGAAUUUCCUGUGUAGCGGUGAAAUGCGUAGAUAUAGGAAGGAACACCAGUGGCGAAGGCGACCACCUGGACUGAUACUGACACUGAGGUGCGAAAGCGUGGGGAGCAAACAGGAUUAGAUACCCUGGUAGUCCACGCCGUAAACGAUGUCAACUAGCCGUUGGGAGCCUUGAGCUCUUAGUGGCGCAGCUAACGCAUUAAGUUGACCGCCUGGGGAGUACGGCCGCAAGGUUAAAACUCAAAUGAAUUUGACGGGGGCCUGCACAGCGGUGAGCAUGUGGUUUAUUUCGAAGCACGCGAAAACUUACCAGGCUUUGACAUCAUGACUUUCAGAGAUGAUGGUUGCUUCGGGACAUGGAAUGUGCUGCAUGGCUGUCGUCAGCUC